rnacentral:rRNA from 1 species
GCGACCCCAGGUUGGGCGGG